UGUGCUACUACCAAGCCAAAGAGACCCUAGUGCUUGGUGCCUUCUCCAGGGACCCAGCCACAUCCCCUCCCUUUGGCUCUGGGACAAUGUUUCCACGUUCAAAUAUUGCAGCUUACAGGAGGGUAAGACAAGCUCUGAAUGUAGUUUCAAGAGUGUCCAAAGAUGAAUCCUUCAUGGAGUUCUAUGGGCCCAGCAUGGCAAUACUCAAACAACCCAUGGAGCCUGUGUUCCUUGAGGUGGAGCUGAAGGACGAGAGCCCCAGUGUGGAGUUAUACCUGGAAAACUGCUGGGUAGCCUCAUCUCCAGACUUCAACAGCAACCCAAGAUGGAACAUCA